GAUAGCCGAGCACGGCAUGAUUAAUUAAAAGAUGAGUGUCGUCUGCUCAUAAACCAAGUUUUUAAGAUUACAAAGAAAUCUCUGAACGACCACUGUUUUGGAAACGUAACGUGUCUGCACGAAAAAUAGCUCUACAAAUAAAAUGACAAAAAUGUGAUCGUCUUGUCAACUCUGGUCGCGUCUCGUUAUAGAAUAGCUGAAUGGACACUCUGUGCUGUUUAUAGCAGAUUUGAGGCCUGAACUGCCCAUCAUAACAACACGAUAUACAAGAUUUGGUACUGGUGGAAUUGACCACUGCAACAAUCUUAGUAUCAUCACUCUGAUAUAAACAGAUCCUGUUAGAUUGGAGAACCUACUGAUGACGAUUGAGUUCCGAAUCUCUUCUUCCCCUUUCUCUAAAUGUUCUCGUGUACACCCAUGUGAGUGUGGGUGUAUUCACGAGGAUCUCCUCUUUCCUAUCCCACUUGGUGUAACAGUCAAAUCUUCUGCGGAUGCAGCACUUGGAUGGAUGCCUGGCCGAAUUUCCCAGGCUUAAAGCCAGCUGGUGAAAGUUGUGAUCGAGUCACGGUUGAGUUGCAGCUUCUGCAUGCAGUUUAUCGAGCUGGUGCUAUACCAAGUGUAACUGCAGGAAAACUUCUUGAAUUGCCAGGUGAAGUCUGCGCUUCUUUGUUGCAGUCUAAUGUGCGCAUGGAUUCGUUGCAGUCAUCCAGUGAAAGGUGUGAUUAAAUUGAGCUGUUGCAUGCAGUGUUUGGUGCUGAUGUUGUCCUGGAGUGUGGGAGAGUCCCAUGCUUCAAGUCUUCUGGGAUCAGCCAUAUCCGAGUUGGCACUGGAUCAUGCUGCAUUGUGGAUUUGUGGUUGCCGGAAUGUUGGACAUCUAGUAGAACUGCAAGAAGACUCCUUGAAAUGGUUUACGUUUACGUAGCAGUGAUGUUGCUGUCCUAAAUGGCAUGUUGUUGCAGCCUAUACUGGUGAAAGAUUUGUUGGAUCGAGUUUUGCUGUUGCUGUUCCUUGGUGCCGGACUGCUGGUGUUGUGCAUGAAAGUUACAUCCAGUUUUAAUUGUUAUUUGUGUUCCUUGGUGUUGAAUCGCUGGUGUUGUGCUACAUAAGUUACAUCCAGUAUUUUGUUUAAUUGCUAUUUGCGUCUAUGAAGUUAACCGUUUAUGUGUUGAGAAUGAAAAAAAAAUGUAAUACGGGGAAUUUUUACGUUGAACAAAUAAUAAACAUGCCUUCGCGAUUGGGAAACCAGCGAGGAGGAUAUGGGGGGGGGGGGGCAAUUGAUUUUCAUUAACUAGAAGGAAUCGUGGUUUGUUUUAAUAAGGUGGAAAUUAAAUCCUUUGUCUAUCACAUCCAUAUACCUAUCUAUAUAAUCACAUCUAUUCCACCAACCACAUAAUUUUCCAACAUCCAUUACUUAAAACCCAUAACUUCCACCAACAUCUAUUCCUUAAACCCCCAUUUACCCACAAAUAACUGGAAUAGGUAAAUAUUGUUGUUGAAUAAAUUCCCAUUUAUAUAAUA
rnacentral:lncRNA from 1 species